UUCACCUUUAAAGACAGUCCAGAGAGGCUGAAAAGGUAUUUGUGAAAUGUUAAACACAUUUUACUGUAGAAUGAUUGUAGUUGAGAAAUCCAUUGCUGAAUAUAAAUUCAGUAGGUUCAAAACGAGUCAAAUCAUCACAGGCGUAGUGUAUUUAACAUGCUCUUUAAACACAACUAUCAACAACCUCUUAAGCUGAUGCUUAGGAGGUUUUUUAUU
rfam:Lysinibacillus massiliensis 4400831 = CIP 108448 = CCTG 49529 contig2, whole genome shotgun sequence.